rnacentral:rRNA from 1 species
GAGUUCAAGAGUACGUGAAACCGUUUAGGGGUAAACCUGAGAAACCCGAAAGGUCGAAGGAAGAAAUUCAUUCGCGUUUCGACGUGGACGUCUGAUGUUGGCAUGACAAUGAGCGCGUUUAUACGCUCGUUGCAUGCCUCGUUUUUCGGUUCUGCGGCGAACGCGUGCACUUUUCUUCUGGUAGAACGUCGCGAUCCGUUGGGUGUCGGUCUACGAUUUGUAGUGGAGCUCAAAUGUUACACUGCAGUCUUCGGGCUGUAUGUGGACACGUUUGAACCUAUAUUUCUCUGACCGACUUGCCUGACGGUAUACGAACGGUUUGGGGUCGCUCUAGGAGCGUUCGGCUCUGAGCAAGCGCGCCAGUUGUUUCGAUGACCGGACUUUGUGCUGAUCGCGAUCACUGGUGACUGUUGGCUCGGAUGUUCUUGAACUGACCUGACUCAAUCCUAAAAAACCGAUCAGCGGCGCUAUAGCUUUGGGUACUUUCAGGACCCGUCUUGAAACACGGACCAAGGAGUCUAGCAUGUACGCAAGUCAUUGGGAUUAAUUAAACCUAAAGGCGAAAUGAAAGUGAAAAUUCUCCUUGUGGGAAUAGAGGGAGGACGAAUAGUUUACCCGUUAACGGUGGCUAAUCUGCACUCCCGGGGCGUCUCAUUCUCAUUGCGAGAAGAGGCGCACCAAGAGCGUACACGCUGGGACCCGAAAGAUGGUGAACUAUGCCUGGUCAGGAUGAAGUCAGGGGAAACCCUGAUGGAGGUCCGUAGCGAUUCUGACGUGCAAAUCGAUCGUCGGAACUGGGUAUAGNNNNNNNNNNNNNNNNNNNNNNNNNNNNNNNNNNNNNNNNGGGCGAAAGACUAAUCGAACCAUCUAGUAGCUGGUUCCCUCCGAAGUUUCCCUCAGGAUAGCUGGCGCUCGUUGUAUACGAGUCUCAUCCGGUAAAGCGAAUGAUUAGAGGCAUUGGGGUCGAAACGACCUCAACCUAUUCUCAAACUUUAAAUGGGUGAGAUCUCCGGCUUGCUCGAAUUUAUCAUUUGAUGUGAAGCCGCGAGAUUAACGGAUCAGAGUGCCAAGUGGGCCAUUUUUGGUAA